rnacentral:rRNA from 1 species
AUGCCUCCCCAAGCAACAUCAACCUGUAGGCACAACGGCAAGGUUAGGGAAUUGUGCAUGGCUGUUGACAAUCCAAUUUUGUGGUCAGCUAAGAGGUUAUUAUUUAAGGAGGCAAGCUCGAAUUUGCUUGCAACUACACUGACUGGAGAGAGCAGUCUUGGUGCAUCCAGGCAUAUAGUUUCUUAUUGGUGCAAAUAUAAGAUGUUACUUGUGCGUCGUCUUCACCCUUACCUAAUUAAAAAACUCUACCUGUUAAAUCAGGCGAAAUUUCCUGCUAUUAUGUGCUUAAAUUCUUUAUGCAUAUGUGUAUUUUGGUGGAUGAAUUUUUUUCUCCAUGCAGUGGUAGAUGUAUGCAUAUGUGUAUUUUGGUAG